GGAAAGUGAAAAGUGAAAGUGAAGUCGCUCAGUCGUGUCCGACUCUUAGUGUGGACUGCAGCCCACCAGGCUCCUCCGUCCAUGGGAUUUUCCAGGCAAGAGUACUGGAGGGGGGUGCCAUUGCCUUGACUGCCAAGAUGCAAAACAUGCUAUGGAGUACUUACUCGGGAAACUGAAUGAAUACGACUGUUCCUUCCAGAAUGCUGGAACAAAGAAUGAAGGAAUGAGAUUGAGAAACAUUCUGAAGAACCCUGGAGUACACUCACUGCCUUCGGUUUCUUUGGAAACACAGCUAUGGUAAAGGGCAGGAGCAAGUUGGGACUUUGGCAAGAAUUUUAAGAUAAAUUUAUGAAACUUAUCACUCCACGUGAAGUGAAAAAUAGGAUGAAUUUUGAAGGUGAACCAACAGCAAAGAAGGAAAAUAAUUACGAAUGUGUAGAAAUGUAUCAUCUCCUAGUGCCAGAAAUCCUUAAAGAUAAACUUUGAAUUAGCUUCUUAUUUUGUUUGAAUAUGUAAUCACCUCUAUUCAAGCUUGGAACUUUUCAAGGUUUCAUUUUGAGUAUCUGAUUGUCAUGUUGACCUUGGGUGGGAAGUAAUUAGACACGCAAGACUGAGCAACUGGAUGGUUCAGCCUUCUUGCAUCUGUGACUUGCUUCCUGGAAGGAACACUGGAACAGAUGUCAAACUACAGUCAGGGUGAGCAAUUAAAAUCAAGUAAUCUUAGGGCACCCUGGACUAAGAUUUAUAGAGUUUGGAUCCUCUCUUUCCCAUGGGCCUGUUUUCCGAAAAAUGGGUAUGAAGGAUGAAAUGGAAAAUAACCUAGAAGGAAUCUCUGAACUCUGGUGGGCCUGAGGUGAAGUUUACUAUAAACCCUAAGAUCCCAUGCUUACUCACUUUUAAUGGACCUGUCCUCACAUUUAAUUUGUAAAGCAGUUUCUGGCCUAAAGGGACUGACUGUAUCUCAGAUAGACUCUGACCAUGCAAAAGAUAUCAGUUCCACCUCCUUCUCUCUUAAAGAGGAAUGAGCUUUCAUUAUUAUCUCUUUUUUGUGUGUGUUUCUAGUUUGCUAAGCCUUAAGUUAAUUUUACUUAACAGUUAUUUUAUUGUGGUUAGGAGCACUGGAAACAUUUAAAAUGACAUUUGGUUUGUUAAAACCCCACAAAGCUAGCAGAUGGUUGAGGGAAGCAGCACUCAGGAUGCCACUUGAUCCUUAAUUCAAGACCAUACUGGAUGCUGCAUCUGGAAGAAGAGCUGUGCCAAGAACAUUGCUGUCGAAUGAGAGACUCUGUUAUUCAUAAAUAUUUAGGAAAAAUCAGAAUCAAGUGUUCAUGAGCAUAGUUCAUUUCAGGUCAGUUCAGUCGCUCAGUCGUGUCCGACUCUUUGCCACCCAUGGACUGCAGCACGCCAGGCCUCCCUGUCCAUCACCAGUUCCCAGAGUUUACUUAAACUCAUGUCCACUGAGUCAGUGAUGCCAUCCAGCCAUCUCAUCCUCUGUCGUCCCUUUCUCCUCCUGCCUUCAAUUUUCCCAGCAUCAGGGUCUUUUCUAAUGAGUCAGUUCUUUGCAUCAGGUGGCCAAAGUAUUGGAGCUUCAGCUUCAGCAUCAGUCCUUCCAAUGAGUAUUCCGGACUGAUUUCAUUUUGGAUGGACAGGUUGGAUCUCCUUAUACUCCAGGGGACACUCAAGAGUCUUCUCCAGCACCACAGUUCAAAAGCAUCAAUUCUUUGGUGCUCAGCUUUCUUUAUAAUCCAACUCUCACAUCCAUACAUGACUACUGGAAAAACCAUAGCCUUUACUAUAUGAACCUGUGUUGGCAAAGUAAUAUCUCUGCUUUUUAAUAUGCUCUCUAGGUUGGUCUAGCUUGGUAUAUGAAAUGAAACAGAUAUCCCAUUGGAGGAGGAUUCUGCAAACACUUCUAAAUCUGUAGUAUUUGGCCCUGAUGGUAAAAAAAAAAAAAAAAAAAAUCUGCCUGCAAUGCAGGAGACCUGGGUUCAAUCCCUGGGUUGAGAAGUUCCCCUGGAGAAGGGCAUGGCAACCCACUCCAGUCUUCUUCACUGGAGAAUUCCGUGGACAGAGGAGCCUGAAGUAUACAGUCCAUGGGGUCUCAAAAGAGUCAGACACAACUGAGUGACUAAGCGUAGCACAGUAUUUAUUCAUGUAACAUUUUAAUAAACCUAUGGAGAAUAGGCUUUUAUAAUGUAAAUUUUAUAGCUCUGUUGCUUUAUUUUAUUCAUUCUGUGUACAAAUGGAACUUUUCAUUUGUAAUAGUCCCUGAAAUAGUCAUUAUGUGUUUAAACCCCUCACACCAAAUGUAGACUCUCCAAGUUUUUGUCUUUAAAUAUUUCCCCAAUGCUUACAAUAUUAAAAAGCUGAGUAUAAUUAAUUGGUAGCAUGUAUAAUUGUGAUAUCUGGCAUCUGGUGACUUUUCCUGUUAUUCUUUUUGUUCUUUUAUUAUAACCACUUCAUUUGUGAAAUUUUUUAUGCUUCCUGCUUAAUACUUGCUAAGAAUUAUUUUUUCCCCCAGUGAGGUAAAGAAAGAGGCUUCAGAGCAAUGUUAAAUAC
ensembl:lncRNA